UUUCCCUCCUGAUGUACCCAAGAGAUUCUCUACAAGCUAAUGGAUGGACUGAAAAAAAUAACGAAAGGUAGAAUGGAGUGGUGAUAUCCUGGUUAACAGGCACAGGUACUAUGAUUGUUGUGGUGGACUGCAGACUGCAGGACAUUCUUUGCUACCCCUCCAGUGAAAGGUAGAUUUGUUGAAACUGGGCUGGCUUUGUGACUGUGUGACCAGUAGAACACAGUGAAAGUGACUCUGUGCCGGCUCUGGAUCUAGCUUUUAAGGGAACUAGGAGCUUCUGCUUCCUCUUUCUUGGAAGGCUCAUUCUUGGGCCGCUCCCUCUCAGAAUAUUGCUGCCAUGCUGUGAGAAGCACAAGCCACAUGCAGAUUCAGUGCUCCAGUUGACAGCCCCAGCUGAGCUCUCCGCCGACAACCAACUUCAACUGCCAGCCGUGUGAGUGAGCCCUUUUGGACUUCCAGCCCAAUUUAGCUCUGGAGGAUGCAGCCCCAGCUGACACCUUGUGGAGCAGAAGAUCUGCCCA